GAAAAGCAUUAUUGUAAGUCGCUUUGGAUAAAAGCGUCAGCUAAAUGACAAUGU
rfam:Gasterosteus aculeatus cont1.002695, whole genome shotgun sequence.